AGAGUUUGAUCCUGGCUCAGGAUGAACGCUAGCGGCAGGCCUAACACAUGCAAGUCGAGGGGUAGAACACUUCGGUGUUUGAGACCGGCGCACGGGUGCGUAACGCGUAUGCAAUCUACCUUAUACAGGGGAAUAGCCCAGAGAAAUUUGGAUUAAUGCCCCAUAGUGUUAUAGAAUCGCAUGGUUUUAUAACUAAAGUUCCAACGGUAUAAGAUGAGCAUGCGUCCCAUUAGUUAGUUGGUAAGGUAACGGCUUACCAAGACAAUGAUGGGUAGGGGUCCUGAGAGGGAGAUCCCUCACACUGGUACUGAGACACGGACCAGACUCCUACGGGAGGCAGCAGUGAGGAAUAUUGGUCAAUGGGCGCAAGCCUGAACCAGCCAUGCCGCGUGCAGGAAGAAGCAUCUAUGGUGUGUAAACUGCUUUUAUACAGGAAGAAACACCUCCACGUGUGGAGGCUUGACGGUACUGUAGGAAUAAGGAUCGGCUAACUCCGUGCCAGCAGCCGCGGUAAUACGGAGGAUCCAAGCGUUAUCCGGAAUCAUUGGGUUUAAAGGGUCCGUAGGCGGUCUUAUAAGUCAGUGGUGAAAGCCCAUCGCUCAACGAUGGAACUGCCAUUGAUACUGUAAGACUUGAAUUUUUGUGAAGUAACUAGAAUAUGUAGUGUAGCGGUGAAAUGCUUAGAUAUUACAUGGAAUACCAAUUGCGAAGGCAGGUUACUAACAAACGAUUGACGCUGAUGGACGAAAGCGUGGGGAGCGAACAGGAUUAGAUACCCUGGUAGUCC
rnacentral:rRNA from 1 species